rnacentral:rRNA from 1 species
UGGGGAAUAUUGGACAAUGGGUGAAAGCCUGAUCCAGCAAUGCCGCGUGAGUGAUGAAGGCCUUAGGGUUGUAAAGCUCUUUUACCCGGGAUGAUAAUGACAGUACCGGGAGAAUAAGCUCCGGCUAACUCCGUGCCAGCAGCCGCGGUAAUACGGAGGGAGCUAGCGUUGUUCGGAAUUACUGGGCGUAAAGCGUUCGUAGGUGGUUUUGUAAGUCUGCUGUUAAAGCGUGUAGCUCAACUACAUAUAGGCAGUGGAAACUACAAAACUUGAGUGCGUUCGGGGCAGAGGGAAUUCCUAGUGUAGCGGUGAAAUGCGUAGAGAUUAGGAAGAACACCGGUGGCGAAAGCGCUCUGCUAGGCCGCAACUGACACUGAGGGACGAAAGCUAGGGGAGCGAAUGGGAUUAGAUACCCCUGAAGUCC